rnacentral:rRNA from 1 species
GAUGGACGCUGGCGGCGUGCCUAAUACAUGCAAGUCGAGCGAACAGACGAGGAGCUUGCUCCUCUGACGUUAGCGGCGGACGGGUGAGUAGCACGUGGAUAACCUACCUAUAAGACUGGGAUAACUUCGGGAAACCGGAGCUAAUACCGGAUAAUAUAUUGAACCGCAUGGUUCAAUAGUGAAAGACGGUUUUGCUGUCACUUAUAGAUGGAUCCGCGCCGCAUUAGCUAGUUGGUAAGGUAACGGCUUACCAAGGCAACGAUGCGUAGCCGACCUGAGAGGGUGAUCGGCCACACUGGAACUGAGACACGGUCCAGACUCCUACGGGAGGCAGCAGUAGGGAAUCUUCCGCAAUGGGCGAAAGCCUGACGGAGCAACGCCGCGUGAGUGAUGAAGGUCUUCGGAUCGUAAAACUCUGUUAUUAGGGAAGAACAAAUGUGUAAGUAACUAUGCACGUCUUGACGGUACCUAAUCAGAAAGCCACGGCUAACUACGUG